rnacentral:rRNA from 1 species
GAUGAACGCUGGCUGUGUGCCUAAUACAUGCAUGUCGAGCGAAGCACUUCGGUGCUUAGCGGCGAAUGGGUGAGUAACACGUACUUAACCUACCUUAUUGAUUGGGACAACAGUUGGAAACGACUGACUAAUACCGAAUACGCUUAGUUUGGGGCACUCCCCGAGUAAUAGAAACGUACCCGGUUUGGGUCGACAAUGAGAGUGGGAGUGCGCUACAUUAGUUAGUUGGUAGGGGUAACGGCCUACAAGACGAUGAUGUAUAGCGGGGUUGAGAAGCUGAUCCGCCACACGUGGGACUGAGAUACCGGCCCAGACUCCGUACGGGAGGCAGCAGGUAGGGUAAUUUUCCAACAAUGAGCGAAAGCUUGAUGGAGCGACACAGCGUGCAGGAU